UCUAAGACUUUUUCUAUGGACACAAAAGGCCUAUUUCUGUGUUCGUGAGCACUUUUCCUUUGCCGAGAUAAUCCAUCCACCUCACAGGUGUGGCAUAUCAAGAUGCUGAUUUGACAUAGAUGCUGAUUAUAGAUAUAGAGAUAGAUAUCAUUUAAAAAAAUAUAUUUUUGUAAUACCCACUAAUGUCGUAUUGUGAAAAAUACAAAUAAAAAAAAGGCAGGUAAUUGUGAAAUAUAUCAAUAAAAAUUAUUUACAAAGUAGGUCUCCUGCAG